CGCACGGGUGAGUAACACGUGGAUAAUCUACCUCUAGAUGGGGAAUAACUCUGGGAAACCGGAGCUAAUACCGCAUAAUGCCGAGAGGCCAAAGGAGCAAUUCGUCUGGAGAGGAGUCCGCGGCCGAUUAGCUAGUUGGCAGGGUAAAGGCCUACCAAGGCGAUGAUCGGUAGCCGGCCUGAGAGGGCACACGGCCACACUGGCACUGAAACACGGGCCAG
rnacentral:rRNA from 1 species